UACGUAGGGUGCGAGCGUUGUCCGGAAUUAUUGGGCGUAAAGGGCUCGUAGGCGGUCUGUUGCGUCGGGAGUGAAAACUCAGGGCUUAACCCUGAGCCUGCUUCCGAUACGGGCAGACUAGAGGUAUGCAGGGGAGAACGGAAUUCCUGGUGUAGCGGUGAAAUGCGCAGAUAUCAGGAGGAACACCGGUGGCGAAGGCGGUUCUCUGGGCAUUACCUGACGCUGAGGAGCGAAAGCGUGGGGAGCAAACAGG
rnacentral:rRNA from 1 species